rnacentral:rRNA from 1 species
GAUGAACGCUAGCGGCAGGCUUAAUACAUGCAAGUCGAGGGGCAGCAUGGUUGUAGCAAUACAACUGAUGGCGACCGGCAAACGGGUGCGGAACACGUACGCAAUCUACCCAAAACUGAUGAAUAGCCCUCCGAAAGGAGGAUUAAUACAUCGUAACAUAAAUUGAAUGGCAUCAUUUAAUUAUUAUAGCUCCGGCGGUUUUGGAUGAGCGUGCGCCNGAUUAGGUAGUUGGCGGGGUAACGGCCCACCAAGCCUGCGAUCAGUAACUGGUNUGAGAGCACGACCAGUCACACGGGCACUGAGACACGGGCCCGACUCCUACGGGAGCAGCAGUAAGGAAUAUUGGUUAAUGGACGCAAGUCUGAGCCAGCCAUGCCGCGUGAAGGAUG